GGAGAGGUGUCCGAGUGGUUGAAGGAGCACGCUUGGAAAGCGUGUAUGCGCAGCGAUGCGUAUCGAGGGUUCGAAUCCCUCUCUCUCCGCCA
rnacentral:tRNA from 1 species